UACCUGUGUGACUGCGUACCUUUUGUAUAAUGGGUCAGCGACUUAUAUUCUGUAGCAAGGUUAACCGUAUAGGGGAGCCGUAGGGAAACCGAGUCUUAACCGGGCGUUAAGUUGCAGGGUAUAGACCCGAAACCCGGUGAUCUAGCCAUGGGCAGGUUGAAGGUUGGGUAACACUAACUGGAGGACCGAACCGACUAAUGUUGAAAAAUUAGCGGAUGACCUGUGGCUGGGGGUGAAAGGCCAAUCAAACCGGGAGAUAGCUGGUUCUCCCCGAAAGCUAUUUAGGUAGCGCCUCGUGAAUUCAUCUCCGGGGGUAGAGCACUGUUUCGGCUAGGGGGCCAUCCCGGCUUACCAACCCGAUGCAAACUGCGAAUACCGGAGAAUGUUAUCACGGGAGACACACGGCGGGUGCUAACGUCCGUCGUGAAGAGGGAAACAACCCAGACCGCCAGCUAAGGUCCCAAAGUCAUGGUUAAGUGGGAAACGAUGUGGGAAGGCCCAGACAGCCAGGAUGUUGGCUUAGAAGCAGCCAUCAUUUAAAGAAAGCGUAAUAGCUCACUGGUCGAGUCGGCCUGCGCGGAAGAUGUAACGGGGCUAAACCAUGCACCGAAGCUGCGGCAGCGACACUGUGUGUUGUUGGGUAGGGGAGCGUUCUGUAAGCCUGUGAAGGUGUGUCGUGAGGCAUGCUGGAGGUAUCAGAAGUGCGAAUGCUGACAUAAGUAACGAUAAAGCGGGUGAAAAGCCCGCUCGCCGGAAGACCAAGGGUUCCUGUCCAACGUUAAUCGGGGCAGGGUGAGUCGACCCCUAAGGCGAGGCCGAAAGGCGUAGUCGAUGGGAAACGGGUUAAUAUUCCCGUACUUGGUGUUACUGCGAAGGGGGGACGGAGAAGGCUAUGUUGGCCGGGCGACGGUUGUCCCGGUUUAAGCGUGUAGGUGUGUGUUCCAGGUAAAUCCGGUUCACUUUAACACUGAGGCGUGACGACGAGGCACUACGGUGCUGAAGCAACAAAUGCCCUGCUUCCAGGAAAAGCCUCUAAGCAUCAGGUAACAUCAAAUCGUACCCCAAACCGACACAGGUGGUCAGGUAGAGAAUACCAAGGCGCUUGAGAGAACUCGGGUGAAGGAACUAGGCAAAAUGGUGCCGUAACUUCGGGAGAAGGCACGCUGACACGUAGGUGAAGUGAUUUACUCAUGGAGCUGAAGUCAGUCGAAGAUACCAGCUGGCUGCAACUGUUUAUUAAAAACACAGCACUGUGCAAACACGAAAGUGGACGUAUACGGUGUGACGCCUGCCCGGUGCCGGAAGGUUAAUUGAUGGGGUCAGCGCAAGCGAAGCUCCUGAUCGAAGCCCCGGUAAACGGCGGCCGUAACUAUAACGGUCCUAAGGUAGCGAAAUUCCUUGUCGGGUAAGUUCCGACCUGCACGAAUGGCGUAAUGAUGGCCAGGCUGUCUCCACCCGAGACUCAGUGAAAUUGAACUCGCUGUGAAGAUGCAGUGUACCCGCGGCAAGACGGAAAGACCCCGUGAACCUUUACUAUAGCUUGACACUGAACAUUGAGCCUUGAUGUGUAGGAUAGGUGGGAGGCUUUGAAGUGUGGACGCCAGUCUGCAUGGAGCCGACCUUGAAAUACCACCCUUUAAUGUUUGAUGUUCUAACGUGGACCCGUAAUCCGGGUUGCGGACAGUGUCUGGUGGGUAGUUUGACUGGGGCGGUCUCCUCCUAAAGAGUAACGGAGGAGCACGAAGGUUGGCUAAUCCUGGUCGGACAUCAGGAGGUUAGUGCAAUGGCAUAAGCCAGCUUGACUGCGAGCGUGACGGCGCGAGCAGGUGCGAAAGCAGGUCAUAGUGAUCCGGUGGUUCUGAAUGGAAGGGCCAUCGCUCAACGGAUAAAAGGUACUCCGGGGAUAACAGGCUGAUACCGCCCAAGAGUUCAUAUCGACGGCGGUGUUUGGCACCUCGAUGUCGGCUCAUCACAUCCUGGGGCUGAAGUAGGUCCCAAGGGUAUGGCUGUUCGCCAUUUAAAGUGGUACGCGAGCUGGGUUUAGAACGUCGUGAGACAGUUCGGUCCCUAUCUGCCGUGGGCGCUGGAGAACUGAGGGGGGCUGCUCCUAGUACGAGAGGACCGGAGUGGACGCAUCACUGGUGUUCGGGUUGUCAUGCCAAUGGCACUGCCCGGUAGCUAAAUGCGGAAGAGAUAAGUGCUGAAAGCAUCUAAGCACGAAACUUGCCCCGA
rnacentral:rRNA from 1 species